rnacentral:rRNA from 1 species
AAACGGGAGAAGGGUUGUUAAGGAACUCGGCAAAUUGACCCCGUAACUUCGGGAGAAGGGGUGCUCUAGAGAUAGAGCCGCAGAGAAUCGGCCCAAGCAACUGUUUACCAAAAACACAGGUUUGUGCUAAAUCGAAAGAUGACGUAUACGAGCUGACGCCUGCCCGGUGCUGGAAGGUUAAGAGGAGAUGUGCAAGCAUUGAAUCGAAGCCCCAGUGAACGGCGGCCGUAACAAUAACGGUCCUAAGGUAGCGAAAUUCCUUGUCAGGUAAGUUCUGACCCGCAUGAAAGGCGUAAUGAUUUGGGCACUGUCUCGACAGCCCGCCCGGCGAAAUUGUAGUACCGGUGAAGAUGCCGGUUACCCGCGACAAGACGGAAAGACCCCAUGGAGCUUUACUGUAGCCUAAUAUUGGGUUUCGAUGUUGCAUGCACAGGAUAGAUGGGACACUGGGAAGCAAGUGCUUUGGCAUUUGUGGAGUGGCCGUUGGGAUACCAUCCUUGCGAUAUUGGAAUUCUAACCUGCGCCUUUGAAUCAAGGCGAGGGACAUUGUUAGGUGGGCAGUUUGACUGGGGCGGUCGCCUCCUAAAGAGUAACGGAGGCGUUCAAAGGUUCGCUCAGCUUGAACGGAAAUCAAGCAAAAGAGUGCAAACGCAGAAGCGAGCCUAACUGCGAGACUGACGGGUCGAGCAGUAACGAAAGUUGGAGUUAGUGAUCCGGUGGUAUGUGAGUGGAAAUGCCAUCGCUCAACGGAUAAAAGUUACCCUGGGGAUAACAGGCUGAUCUCCCCCAAGAGUCCACAUCGACGGGGAGGUUUGGCACCUCGAUGUCGGCUCAUCGCAUCCUGGGGCUGUAUUCGGUCCCAAGGGUUUGGCUGUUCGCCAAUUAAAGCGGUACGCGAGCUGGGUUCAGAACGUCGUGAGACAGUUCGGUCCCUAUCUGUCGUGGGCGCAGGAUACUUGAUGGGAGCUGUUCCUAGUACGAGAGGACCGGAGCGGACGUACCUCUGGCGCACCAGUUGUUCUGCCAAGGGCAUAGCUGGGCAACUAUGUACGGAUCGGAUAAACGCUGAAAGCAUCUAAGCGUGAAGCCGACCCAAAGAUAAGAUAUCCCAUUGUUUCAAACAAGUAAGACCCCUUGAAGACUACAAGGUUGAUAGGCAUGAUGUGUAAGUGGAGUGAUCCAUUCAGCAAGUAUGUACUAAUAGGUCGAGGGCUUGACC